rnacentral:ncRNA from 1 species
ACCAAGGGGAGCUUUUUGCUGAGAGUGGACUCGUUCCGGACCCUUUGAACCUGUUAGAUAAUGCUAGCGCAGGGAUGGUAUA